rnacentral:rRNA from 1 species
UACAGAGGGUGCGAGCGUUAAUCGGAAUUACUGGGCGUAAAGCGCGCGUAGGCGGCUUUGCAAGUCGAGUGUGAAAUCCCCAGGCUUAACCUGGGAACUGCAUUCGAGACUGCAUGGCUAGAGUAUGGGAGAGGGAAGUGGAAUUUCAGGUGUAGCGGUGAAAUGCGUAGAUAUCUGAAGGAACAUCAGUGGCGAAAGCGACUUCCUGGACCAACACUGACACUGAGGAGCGAAAGCCAGGGGAGCAAACGGG